ACCAGCCCCCAGCCCAAAGCCCGCAUCCGGUAGGGGGGUCAGGGCCGGGCAGUGGAGCUGCGGGGGGCCGGGCUCAGUCCUGUGCUGUCAAGGCUCCACGAGGAGCACCCAGGUGUGCUGUAGGCAGUGAUGAGGGGUGUGGGUUCACAGCUCGCACUGCUGCUCCAUAAGUAGGGCGGCGACAGCGCUGGGUGUUUGUCUCUACUGCUAGUUUUCUAGGCUUUGAUUCUACAGCCUGCCUAGGAGGGAUGGGGGAUUCUCAACUUGCUCCUGUGAAGCAGCUUGAGGCCCUGGGACUGCCUGCAGCACGAGGAGCUGGGACAAUGCAGCUCACCUGGAUCUUGAGCACUGCAGCCACCUGAGCUGUUGGUGGUGUGAUGGUAAACUUCCAUUCUGAUCUCCAGCGACCAUUCCUAAAAACAGAUGAAGCAUGAAAACUGUAUUUGCACAUGAUGGGUGUAAGUCAAACUACCACCACAGAGAGGCAUACUCUUUUUGGUAUGCUUGAAACAUGAAUACUUACUGUGCUGCUCCUU